UACGGAGGGGACUAGCGUUGUUCGGAAUUACUGGGCGUAAAGCGCACGUAGGCGGAUUUGUAAGUCAGGGGUGAAAUCCCGAGGCUCAACCUCGGAACUGCCUUUGAUACUGCAAAUCUCGAGUCCGGAAGAGGUGAGUGGAAUUCCUAGUGUAGAGGUGAAAUUCGUAGAUAUUAGGAAGAACACCAGUGGCGAAGGCGGCUCACUGGUCCGGUACUGACGCUGAGGUGCGAAAGCGUGGGGAGCGAACGGG
rnacentral:rRNA from 1 species